CACACUGGAACUGAGACACGGUCCAGACACCUACGGGUGGCAGCAGUCGAGAAUCAUUCGCAAUGGGGGAAACCCUGACGAUGCGACGCCGCGUGGAGGAUGAAGGCCUUAGGGUUGUAAACUCCUGUCAAGAGGGAAUAAGCAAGUGAAGGUACCUCUAGAGGAAGGGGCGGCUAAUUCCGUGCCAGCAGCCGCGGUAACACGGAAGCCCCGAGCGUUGUUCGGAUUCAUUGGGCGUAAAGGGUGCGUAGGCGGCGCGGAAAGUCCGGCGUGAAAGGCAGGGGCUCAACCUCUGGACUGCGUUGGAUACUUCCGUGCUUGAGGACUGGAGGGGAGACUGGAAUUCACGGUGUAGCAGUGAAAUGCGUAGAUAUCGUGAGGAAGACCGGUGGCGAAGGCGAGUCUCUGGACAGAUCCUGACGCUGAGGCACGAAGGCUGGGGGAGCGAACAGGAUUAGAUACCCUGGUAGUCCCAGCAGUAAACGAUGUGAGCUUGAUGUGGGGGGAUUCGACCCCUUCCGUGUCGAAGCUAACGCGAUAAGCUCACCGCCUGAGGAGUACGGCCGCAAGGCUAAAACUCAAAGAAAUUGACGGGGACCCGCACAAGCGGUGGAGUAUGUGGCUUAAUUCGAUGCAACGCGAAGAACCUUACCUGGCCUUGACAUGCAUUGUGUCGUCGGUGAAAGCCGGCUAGUCCUGGAAACAGGACGCUUUGCACAGGUGCUGCAUGGCUGUCGUCAGCUCGUGUCGUGAGAUGUUGGGUUAAGUCCCGCAACGAGCGCAACCCUUGUGGUCAGUUACUAACCGGCUUAGCCGGAGGACUCUGGCCAGACUGCCCUGUCAAACGGGGAGGAAGGUGGGGACGACGUCAAGUCAGUAUGGCCCUUAUGGCCAGGGCUGCACACGUACUACAAUGCCCGGUACAAUGUGAACCGAAACCGCGAGGUGGAGGAAAUCGCUCUUGAAAACCGGGCCCAGUUCGGAUUGGAGUCUGCAACUCGACUCCAUGAAGUCGGAAUCGCUAGUAAUGGCGUAUCAGCAACGACGCCGUGAAUACGUUCCCGGGUCUUGUACACACCGCCCGUCACAUCAUGGAAGUCUCCUGUACCCGAAGCACGUGCGCCAACCUUUUAGGAGGCAGCGUUCGAAGGUAUGG
rnacentral:rRNA from 1 species